GACGAACGCUGGCGGCGUGCUUAAUACAUGCAAGUAGAACGCAGUUGCGAACGGGUGAGUAACACGUAGGUAACUGCCCCCUUGCGGGGGAUAACUCUUGGAAACGAUAGCUAAUACCGCAUACUGUGAGAUGGACCUGCGUUGUAUUAGCUAGUUGGUGAGGUAACUGCUCACCAGGGCGACGAUACAUAGCCGACCUGGGUGGAGGAGCGGCCACACUGGGACUGAGACACGGCCGAGACGCCGACGGGAGGCAGCAGUAGGGAAUCUUCGGCAAUGGACGGAAGGCGGACCGAGCAACGCCGCGGGAGUGAAGAGGGGGUUCGGGUCGUAAAGCUCGGUUAUUAGAGACGCGGUAACUAAACAGAAAGGGACGGCUAACUACGUGCCAGCCGCCGCGGUAAUUC
rnacentral:rRNA from 1 species